UCUCUCUCUCUCUCUCUCUCAGCAUUCAAAGUAUGAAUUCACUUGACACAUAUUUAUUUAUCUCUAUGGUAAAAAUAUUGAAAAUGAAUGUUCAAAAAGGAGUCUAGACAGACUGACCCAUUUCAUUCUAUAAAUGCUAGUACUUCAGAAUUUAUAUUCAAUUGGAAGGACAGAUAACGUCCGUUGAGUCUGGAGAAGAAGUAUCAAUAGAAACAUAUUAAUUAAUUUGCUUUGUUCAAUAUGUAACUUCUAAGUUCCUACUUCAUUACCACUUAUAGAUAAAAAUAGGCUGUCCUGCAUACUAUAUCUGAAUUUAACUAGUCCAGAAAUUCACUUGUGAAUUAUAUUUAACCGCUAGUAAAUUACUAUCGCUGUAUGUACAUGCUAGGUAUUAUCGUUUCUGGUGAACGGCUCAUUUUCUAAGGAGUACAUCAGAUUUUGAUUCCACCAGCUCGACCAAUGUGUAUAACCUGGAAUAAUAUCCAGUGGACGAGUUAUCGUCGCGGAGAACCGCAUGGAGGGAGAUUCUCCGGUGCUUCAGGUACCCAAUGUGAUACUGGGACCAUAAAUUCUGCCGGAUAGUUGGCCAGACCAGGAGAAUCUCAUUCGGCAUAACUGUACCUGCACGCGAUUUCUGUGGGAGAUGGUGAACGGCAGAGUCGCGCGUAUCUCCCAUAAAUCUACUAUUUGAUAAUCGGCGUGCCCGGAUUAGUUUCGUUCGACCGUGUUACACGAUCGAGGCUCCGAUUCGUUAACGCGUCCAUUGGCAAUGAUGGUCAUCGAUGACCCACGUUACUAAAUUUUUUAGAAUGCAUUGUCACCCGAUUUUUAUAUACUCACUUUUCAAUCGCAACAGAUUGAAAUAUAUCAUACGCCAUAACAUUUAACUUUUGCACAUUUUAUUUUAAUUACAACAAUAAGUUGUUCACUUUACUAAACAUUCUUUAAUCCAUAUAUGUAAUUUAUUUUAACCAUUUUAAAAGAUGUAGUAAAACAUGUGUUACAUCGUAGCAGACAACAUAGAUUUCAUGGACUACAAGAUCUUCAAUAAUGCGAACGAUUUAGCUUAUCAGAGAAAAAAGCACAAAUACGACAUUUUGCAAAAAUUAAAUGUUAUGUGUACAUUUCAAUCUAUUCUAUAAGUCUAUUAAGCUAUCCAUGAUUUCUAAACAUGACUCGAAUACAGGAUUUUUUGCUCUUCUUAGUACAUAUCUAUGUUUUAUCAACAGGAUAAAGACACAAGGAUGACAGCUGCAGGAUAUAAAUUACGUAUAGAAUUUUCCAAUCUUCUCGGGGCAAUUAUCUGAAACGUUUUAGAGAAGUGGUUGAGUAAUAAAGUCAUACCGACCGAGGUAGCACACAGAUAAUAGAGACAGACUGUCGUGCUUGGUUGUUCUUUCAAAGAUAAGAUCACCCUCCUUGCGUCGAAUGAAAGUUAUGUAAAACGCGUUGUUGGUGAGAAACUCGUCAGAAACUCAGAUUAGCCAACGGUGAACAGAUUGAAUAAUUUAACAGAUCAGUGUCCGUGUCCAGUACACGGUCGUGUUGAAAAACUACGUGGUCAGUGUUUUAAAUCAUAAACCUCAUCGUAAAUUGAAUUGUGCAAAUAGCACCGAUGUUUCCUGGUAAUCUUUGUGGCAAGCAAUCACGUACAUCCAAUACGAGCUCGCAUUCUAGAUGCUUGAAAAACCCUUCGGUUAUUCGAUUACGAAAAAAUAAGCGAAAAUCAUAGGGGAAACUUAUGAUAGCUGGUUUUGUUGAUUUUUUCAAUUUGUUACUCAAUGGAUAAAAGAAAAUAUUUUAAUGUAAAAAGAAAAGAAAAUAGUAUGGGACAAAUGUGAUGAGCUACAGUUUUUGUUUCUCACAGUGAAGCAAUUCUAGAAUUCCAUACACUGUUGACUAGUUCUAUAUUACUUAAAUUACUCUUUAAUUCGAUUUGCAGAUGAAAUAUGGGCUCAUGCUAUGUGUUUGUAUAAUAAUUGAAUGAUAUUUAUAAUUUCAAAAAUAUUAAUAUAUAUUCCUAGAUUUUAAAUAAUGAUGUAUAAUUUAUAUACUGAUAAUUCAAUAUUUACUUAAAUUAUCUAACAUUAUUCUACAUAUAGAUACAUCACUUUUUAAAUAUUCAGGAAGAUGGCAAAAGCAUACAUACAUAGUCUGAAAAUCAAAUGGAGAGAUAGUUUUAACAAGACGUAGAAUUAGUCGACGAUAUAUUGUGGAUUUUGAAAUUGUUCUUCCAUAAGAGGCAGGAUAUUUUCUUCACCUUCGACCUCCAAAAAUGAAAUGCAUGAAACAUUUUGUAGAACGACGAUAUUGAAAGCUAUUAAGAUAAUUAUUAAUACCAAAACGCAGCUAUCCAUUAGUGGAACGCAACUGUAAAUGGUUUAAUGAUUACAGAAACCGUAGAGUACAUAAUAGCCUCUGUACCUGGAAGCUUCGGUUUAAAGUACAAUGUAUGAAAGACUGCAGAAACCACUAAAUGCACGGAAAGGAGUUCAAGCGUUUAAUUACCACUCGGUAAUGCAUUUGCUGUCGUAUAAGCAACAUAAUAGCUAUAUGCUCGGUGGAGCAAAUAUAACACGUUGUGAGAAAAAAAAACGAAGAUACGUAGUAGGAAGAGAAAACGAUGGUAUCCUUGAAUGGAGAGUGUUAACAAUUCAGGGAUGAAGGUAAAAUCCGAUCCAUUAACCGUGACGCUUUAUCUAACAGAAAGUGGUUCCGAUGGUUAGAAGCCAUGUGGUGGAUGUUGGCUAAAGUCGAAUAGUUUAAUGAAGCUGACCACCUUCAUAACCGCAAAGUAUUUCCCAGAGACUUGUUGCGUUUAAUUUUGGAGUAAUUAUUUUUAUAGAAUAAUAGUAUAUAAACAUAUAUACUCUUGUCAUUUCACUAAAAAUUUAAUCGCACAAAUUUUCAUUGCCUAUCUGUCUCAAUAAGACUAUACUGAAAUACUUUACUAGUAAGUGUCACAUUAAUUUUCCAUAUAUAGUGGCUCUUUAAACAACGUCACAAAUGUUCCUGCAUUUAUAGUAUGUAUUUAUUUUUUUAUAGAAUUUUUUCAUUAGAGCUACGUAGUAAUACUUUACUAAUAAUUAUAACACAGAUUUUUCCUACACUUGUAGACAUAAUUUACCUCUCUCUUAUAUGAACGUGAUGGUUGCCAUUCAAAGAAGAUUGGCGUUGAUUAGUAACAAGAUCCAAUUCAAUUAAAAACUCCAAAAUUAAAUAAUUUAAACCUAAAUUAUCACGGUGCCCAAUAGCCCAAUGAUACCUGCCAGUUAACAGUUACAUAUCAAAGAGUAUCCAAAUACUUAUAACUAUAUGUAUAGUCGAUGUACAUCAUUCAAAAACUAUUGGAAGAACUUACCAGAGAUAUGAUAUGUCCUCCAGCCAUAAGCGACGUUUAGUUCCUUUUUUCCUUGAAGAAGGCCGAAGUGAACUCUGCCAGCGCUUUCUUGAGGAUUUGGAGUUCUUAAGGG